CACUGUAAAGAAGAUGGAGUUUCGGUGGAGAAAAAGCAAAAAGAGAAAUGAAAGGGAUAUCGAAAUUUGAGUUGCACUGGGCGGCAGAGGCACCUUCCUGUCAAGAGCAGGGGUUGAGCCACACACAUCACAAUUGAGGGAUAAAAAAGAGAGGUGAUGAUGAUUGGAGAGGAGGAAAGACGAGCUUGGAUUCAAUAGCUAUUGCGUCUUGUUCCCAGAUUCUUAUUGGUCAGCGCUUGCGCACUUUGAAUUACAGUUGGUUAGAAAAAAAAAUGUUCAUCUCUAUGGCAUGCAGGGCGUUGUUCGUAAUGCUUCCUGUUUUUUUUUUUUAUUAUUAUUAUUAUUUUAUUUUAUCAGGAUCAUCAAUUUCCAACUGAUUUGGAUGAACACACUAUGUAUAUAUGGAUUGUGUUGCUCUUGAUAUUUUAGUUAAUGAAAGCAAAUAUAGACCCCUGAUAAUGUGCUUUGCUGAA